UACGGGGGGAGCAAGCGUUGUUCGGAUUUACUGGGCGUAAAGCGCACGUAGGCGGUCAGGCAAGUCGGGUGUGAAAGCCCUGGGCUCAACCUGGGAAUUGCAUUCGAAACUAUCUGACUCGAGUAUGGGAGAGGGAGGCGGAAUUUCCGGUGUAGCGGUGAAAUGCGUAGAUAUCGGAAGGAACACCAGUGGCGAAGGCGGCUUUCUGGA
rnacentral:rRNA from 1 species